rnacentral:lncRNA from 12 species
GUAGGGUCCCCAGGAGUCUGUCCUAGCCCACAGGGACAUGGCUGCAGGGGGGGGGGCCUGGCUCAGGGACUAGUGGGGUGCAGGGAAGGAUGGUCUUCAGUUGAGGGCUGCAGGUGGGGGGUGCCAGGAGCCCCCACAGAACGGGCAGGGAGGAGGCGGGCGGGGGCCUGCGGGUUGCAGGUGGGCGCAGUCGGGGUGGGGGUGAGGGUGCCAGCCCCGGCUGGGGGUGGUCAGCACGCAGUGUGCGGACCUUGUCCUCGGGUGUCCCUCCAAACGGUGGCUCCACUGGGAUCAGGGGCCGGCCCCUCACCACCACAUGGACGCUCCAGGGGCUGCUUGAGGACCGACUGGCCUUCUAGAAGGAGUGUGGGCAGACAGAGCCAGGGUGGUCCGGGCAGUCACUGCAGAGACCGGAGACCCGGCCCAGCCCGCACGGCGCAGCGUGUGUUCCAGGGUCACCAUGGUGAAUUGGGCGGGGGCUGCCCUGGCUGGGUCGUUCUGUGGUGGAGAGUAUGGGACAGUGGUGUCCCCUGUACCUGGGAAGGGGCCACAGGCUGCAGGGAGGCUAGGAGGACUCCAUGGUCAGAGGAGCCGGCUCCCAGGGGUGGGGGACCCCAGGCGGCAGGACCUGUGUGCCGACCAGGUGCUGGCUGGGGGACAGCCCGCAGGGGUGACCGCCAGGCCCCCAGUCCUCCGGCCCACACAGUGGCCACGCCUUCACGGCAGGCCUUCCUUCAAGAAACCAGGAGCCUUACCUCUCAGGACCCGUUCGCCUCCUUCCUGGAACACGUAGGGUCAUGGCCUGUUGGGGACGAGGUGGCCUGGUGCAGGGCAGAGGGACCUCAGGUCGCAGCACCUCGUCCCAGGCUGGAGGGAGAUCCUGCGCCGUGGAGCUUUCCCGGGGCCUGCGGCUCCCACCACAAGCGGGUGCGGGCACAGGGCGGGGAGCACAUGGCCAUGGCAGACCCUGCGGACGGGCGGGAAGCUGGGUGGGCUGCACAGGUGGCCUUGAGGACACAGCGGAGAGGCACAGCAUCGUGGGGAGCCAGUGGAGGCUCCCGGCGGGCUCAGCUGUCACAGGGUGAUGCCAGGGGCAGGUGGACGCAGCAGGGUGGGGUCGUCCAGGGCCUGCGGUGCGGGCGGCGUGCUGAGCAGGACGCAGUGGUCCCGGACACUGCCGGGCACCCGGGGGAGACCGGGGACUUGUGA